GUGCAGCAGGCGCGAAACCUUUACAAUGCCUGAAAGGGUGAUAAGGGCAUCCUGAGUGCUCCAGCAUUGCUGGGGCUUUUCCGGAGUGUAAAAAGCUCCGGGAAUAAGUGGUGGGUAAGACGGGUGCCAGCCAUUUACAUGUCUUACAAUUAAAACUCUAAGUUUCAAAGGCAUGUAAACUGGAAGCCGCGGUAAUACCCGCGCCACAAGUGGUGAUCACGGUUAUUGGGUCUAGAGCGUUCGUAGCCGGCCUAAUAAAUUCUUGGUGAAAUCCCGUGUAAAACAUGGGAAGAGCUAAGAACAACUAUUAGGCUAGGGACC
rnacentral:rRNA from 1 species